AAUAGAUACCCGGGUAGUCCACGCUGUAAACGAUGGGCACUAGGUGUGGGGGGUGUCGACUCUCUCCGUGCCGAAGCUAACGCAUUAAGUGCCCCGCCUGGGGAGUACGGCCGCAAGGCUAAAACUCAAAGGAAUUGACGGGGGCCCGCACAAGCAGCGGAGCAUGUGGUUUAAUUCGACGCAACGCGAAGAACCUUACCUGGGCUUGACAUGUUCCUGACCGUCCUGGAAACAGGGCUUCCCUUCGGGGCAGGAUCACAGGUGGUGCAUGGCUGUCGUCAGCUCGUGUCGUGAGAUGUUGGGUUAAGUCCCGCAACGAGCGCAACCCCCGUCGCAUGUUGCCAGCAUUAAGUUGGGGACUCAUGCGAGACUGCCGGUGACAAACCGGAGGAAGGUGGGGAUGACGUCAAGUCAUCAUGCCCCUUAUGUCCAGGGCUACACACGUGCUACAUUGGCGCGUACAGAGGGCUGCGAUACCGCGAGGUGGAGCGAAUCCCUUAAAGCGCGUCUCGGUUCGGAUUGCAGGCUACG
rnacentral:rRNA from 1 species